UGCGGCAGCCAAUCGGGAGACGCGAAUGCAGCCCUGGCCGCCGCCGGCGGAGACAAACAAAGACCGGGAGCUGGGGGCACGGGGCGUGUCCCCGGGCGCCGGGAGCCCCCUGGCCAAAGCAGGGUUUGCUGGCUAGUGACUCCUGUUUGGAAGCCCCACUCCGAGCCGCGGGCCGCCGUCCAGUGAGGCGACUGCUGGAAGCUUGGAUCCCCUUCCAGGGUGACCCGCAGACCUCUCAAUGAAAAAGGUAGCCUUCCCUGUCCUCACACGUGUCUAGAGCUACCUUGACGGACAUUUGUUUGUUCAUUAAACAGAUUGGAGGUCACAAGGCCACACUUCUUUUCCUGUCUUGGCACUGGGCUUGCCCUCACCAAACCCUGGGGACUCCCUGAUGGCCUAGGACCCCCCACUUCAAAGGGCAGAGAUGUGUCAGCCUGGGUGUGUCCCUCACGGGACCUUCAGUGUACUCAAAGACUGCAAUUCGCACUGCUGGCUGGGCAUCCUUUCAUGGUACCUGGUACACAGUAAGUAUUCAGUAAGUAUUGACAGGAAGGGUGAGUAAAGCUGCCUUCACCCACUCUGUUUAGCCCGUCAAACACACACACACACACACACACACACACACACAUACGCGCACACACCUUGUGCAAAUGAUCACACUCCAAACUAUCACCAGCUUUCCUGCUAAUAAGUGUCAGUGCAGGUUUCUGUAUAUUCAACUGUGUAUAGAAAUAUUGUAUGUGCAUGUGUGUACAAUGACAAAUCUCAUAAAAGUGGCAAAGCCUAUGUGUGGAAAAUGUGCAGUAUUUUUACCUCACAUAAAUU